rnacentral:rRNA from 1 species
GAUUCGUCACACUAUCAUUAACUGAAUCCAUAGGUUAAUGAGGCGAACCGGGGGAACUGAAACAUCUAAGUACCCCGAGGAAAAGAAAUCAACCGAGAUUCCCCCAGUAGCGGCGAGCGAACGGGGAGGAGCCCAGAGCCUGAAUCAGCAUGUGUGUUAGUGGAAGCGUCUGGAAAGGCGCGCGAUACAGGGUGACAGCCCCGUACACAAAAGCGCAUGUGCUGUGAGCUCGAUGAGUAGGGCGGGACACGUGGUAUCCUGUCUGAAUAUGGGGGGACCAUCCUCCAAGGCUAAAUACUCCUGACUGACCGAUAGUGAACCAGUACCGUGAGGGAAAGGCGAAAAGAACCCCGGCGAGGGGAGUGAAAAAGAACCUGAAACCGUGUACGUACAAGCAGUGGGAGCACCCUUCGGGGUGUGACUGCGUACCUUUUGUAUAAUGGGUCAGCGACUUAUAUUCUGUAGCAAGGUUAACCGUAUAGGGGAGCCGGAGGGAAACCGAGUCUUAAUUGGGCGUUAAGUUGCAGGGUAUAGACCCGAAACCCGGUGAUCUAGCCAUGGGCAGGUUGAAGGUUGGGUAACACUAACUGGAGGACCGAACCGACUAAUGUUGAAAAAUUAGCGGAUGACCUGUGGCUGGGGGUGAAAGGCCAAUCAAACCGGGAGAUAGCUGGUUCUCCCCGAAAGCUAUUUAGGUAGCGCCUCGUGAAUUCAUCUCCGGGGGUAGAGCACUGUUUCGGCUAGGGGGCCAUCCCGGCUUACCAACCCGAUGCAAACUGCGAAUACCGGAGAAUGUUAUCACGGGAGACACACGGCGGGUGCUAACGUCCGUCGUGAAGAGGGAAACAACCCAGACCGCCAGCUAAGGUCCCAAAGUCAUGGUUAAGUGGGAAACGAUGUGGGAAGGCCCAGACAGCCAGGAUGUUGGCUUAGAAGCAGCCAUCAUUUAAAGAAAGCGUAAUAGCUCACUGGUCGAGUCGGCCUGCGCGGAAGAUGUAACGGGGCUAAACCAUGCACCGAAGCUGCGGCAGCGAACGUAUCACCCAAGACAACUUUACGGAGUUGACGAUUGACGGAGCGAAGCGACGUCAAAGCGUUCAUUAAAGUCGAGUUGGCUUAGGGAUACGUUCGUUGGGUAGGGGAGCGUUCUGUAAGCCUGUGAAGGUGUGUCGUGAGGCAUGCUGGAGGUAUCAGAAGUGCGAAUGCUGACAUAAGUAACGAUAAAGCGGGUGAAAAGCCCGCUCGCCGGAAGACCAAGGGUUCCUGUCCAACGUUAAUCGGGGCAGGGUGAGUCGACCCCUAAGGCGAGGCCGAAAGGCGUAGUCGAUGGGAAACGGGUUAAUAUUCCCGUACUUGGUGUUACUGCGAAGGGGGGACGGAGAAGGCUAUGUUGGCCGGGCGACGGUUGUCCCGGUUUAAGCGUGUAGGUGUGUGUUCCAGGUAAAUCCGGUUCACUUUAACACUGAGGCGUGACGACGAGGCACUACGGUGCUGAAGCAACAAAUGCCCUGCUUCCAGGAAAAGCCUCUAAGCAUCAGGUAACAUCAAAUCGUACCCCAAACCGACACAGGUGGUCAGGUAGAGAAUACCAAGGCGCUUGAGAGAACUCGGGUGAAGGAACUAGGCAAAAUGGUGCCGUAACUUCGGGAGAAGGCACGCUGACACGUAGGUGAAGUGAUUUACUCAUGGAGCUGAAGUCAGUCGAAGAUACCAGCUGGCUGCAACUGUUUAUUAAAAACACAGCACUGUGCAAACACGAAAGUGGACGUAUACGGUGUGACGCCUGCCCGGUGCCGGAA